rnacentral:lncRNA from 1 species
AAUAUUUUAUUCCUUCUAUUGUAUAACGAUGUAACAACAUACUUUUAAUACAUUUUAGGGUAGGCAUAAAUAAAACUAGGCAUUAGAGGGAUAAUUUUUGGAUAGAAUGUAAGGUUUAAGACCUUUUAUUUGUUGGUUCAGUGGCAUCCAGUAGUUGACUAUUUUUCUUGAUAUAAUUAAUGAAAGAAGAGUUUUCAUUGUUAACAAACUUGAUUGUUUAGACCCCCACAAUGGGCAACAUCAAUAAUACAGCUGACGUUACAUGGUAAUUGCUCCACAGCAAGAAGAAAAAAGAAAGAGAAGACUAGAUUUGUUUCUCUUUUCAGUUUUGCAGCACAUCACCAGGCACGCUGAAACAAUAAUAACAGAGACUUUCGCCUCCUCACCCCUUCGAUUUUGGACUCUUCUUUUGAACAGAUCCAUUUGAAAGCAUCAUGUCUCACACAAUCCUUUUGGUGCAACCAGGUCAGAAGCCAGAGACUCGAACCUAUUCAGACUAUGAAAGCGUCAAUGAAUGUAUGGAAGGUGUUUGCAAGAUCUAUGAAGAGCAUUUGAAGAGACAGAAUCCCAACAUCCCCUCUAUCACCUACGACAUUAGUCAACUCUUUGACUUCGUGGAUCAACUCGCGGAUUUGUCGUGCUUAGUCUAUCAAAAAUCCACGAACACCUAUGCGCCCUUCAACAAAGACUGGAUUAAGGAAAAAAUUUAUAUUUUGCUAAGACGACAGGCGUCCACAUCUUAAUGUUUCUGCUCUUUAUAUAUGCUCCAUUUGUAUUGCGAUCCCUUCAUUUGUUAACACCAUGAAUAAGAUCAUUGUUUGUCUUUAUUAAAUACUACUAAUACAAGUCCUGGUAGUAGCUAUGCAAUCGCCCAUUUCUUACCUAAAAACAAUUAUUAAGCAAGUAGAAUUUGAUUGAAUUUGAGUUUUUAUCAAAUGUUACUUAGGUGAAUGGUUUUGUUAACUUGACGUUUUCUAUUAAGAGUACUAAUUGGUAUUAUGACUCGACGUUGCAAUACAAUUCUGUUUGUGUUCUUAUUGUUUAAAAUGUGGGUUUUUGCUAUGUUAUUUGCAGUUGAUGUAUGCUGUCUCAACAACGCUCAUUUUAUAUGUAUUAAUGACGAGUAAUAGCUAUCCAAGUUCUUGGGUCUCAAGAUUAUUUCCCUGGAAUUAAAAAAUUAUAAUACUCAGCCGUUUUUUUUUUUGUUGCUAAUAUAACUUCAAUGCUACAUGAAACAAAAGUUGUAAUCAUUUAAUAUUUUUUUAAUGUCGUACUUUAAUUCUAUAGAGUUCGUUAUAUCAGUGACGAUAUUAAAAAAAAGUCCACGUUCUCAAAUAAGAAAUAAUAUUUAUGUGAAAUCAAAGAAUACAUACAUGACUGGA